UCUUCCGCUACUGCAGCAGUAAAACCCGGUGUCUCCUGCAUCCAUGAAGAGAUCCCCCCUCCACGGCACCUCCCCCGCCACGAUGGGCCGCGAGCAAUUAACUGCGUUGAUGUGUUGAUAUUGAGAUAUUUCAGUUAUCAAAUAUGAAUCAUGCAUUUGAUAUUUCUGGCCACUUUGCUCGUCAGCAUCCUUUUGCCUUGGCUUCAUCCAUCACUAGCUUCACUCGAGGUUCAAGGAGUAGAGGACAAGGUUGAGAGGGACGCAGUGUCGGCUCUGCUGAAGCAACAGGCAACUGCAGCACCCACCACAGACAACACAACACACCAUGCAGUAGAGCAUGUGAUCACCUACCCCUCUCGGUUGAUCUACUACCUAAACGAGGACUCUGAGAGUACCUACCAUGACCUGAACACCCAUGCUAAGAACCAAGCUUCAGAGGGCCAGGCAGUCCACCUAGCCCAAGUUAGUUUCCAGUUAGAGGCAUUUGGCUCCAGAUUUGUUCUAGAUCUGUCUCUUAACAAUGACUUGCUGUCUUCAGAUUAUGUUGAGAUCCACUAUGAAGGAGAGAAACCUGUUAUAUCAAAGGGCGGUGAGCACUGUUACUACCAUGGCCAGGUGAGAGGGAACGAUAACUCCCACGCAGCCUUAUCUACCUGUAACGGUUUGCAUGGGAUGUUUGACGAUGGAGUCCAUGUGUAUCUAAUUGAGCCCUUACAACAGAAUCAUUCAAGUGAUACAGCUGCUAGGCCUCACAAACUAAGAAGAGCAGCCUCUUCUUUGUGGGAUGAUGAUUCAGUGGAGCAGGAGGAAGAGGAGGAGCAGCUCUUCUCCGAGCUGGAUGAACUGUCCUGGCUGAGGCGCAGGAAAAAGCGAGCAAUGCCUCGCAGCGUAUUUGAGGAGAUGAAGUAUUUAGAAGUCAUGAUUGUCAGUGACCACAGUAUGUUUAAACGACACAGGAACAAGCAGCACACGAGGAACUUUGCCAAGUCAGUAGUUAAUCUUGUGGAUAGUAUCUUCAAAGAGCAACUCCAUACACGUGUGGUGCUUGUUGCGGUGGAGAUUUGGACAGACAGGGAUCACAUCCCCAUAAGUGUGAAGCCGCUGGAACUGCUGCGUGAUUUCUCCAAGUACCGGCAGCAAAGCAUCAAGCACCAUGCCGAUUCUGUGCAGCUACUCUCAAACGCCACCUUCCACUACCGCAGAAGCAGCACUGCGUACUUUGGAGGCAUGUGUUCUGUGAGCCGUGGAGUAGGCGUCAAUGAGUACGGCACCACCUCGUCCAUGGUAGUGUCUCUUUCCCAGAGCCUGGCACAGAACCUGGGCAUCCAGUGGGAUCCGGCAUCCAAGAGAAAGGAAUGCGGCUGUACUAGCCAGUGGGCUGGCUGCAUAAUGGAGGAUACUGGAGUCCAACACCCACAAAAAUUCUCCAAAUGCAGCAUCUCAGACUACAAGGAGUUCCUCCUGAAAGGUGGAGGUUCUUGUUUGUUCAACAGGCCAACCAAGCUGUUCGAGGCAGCAAAUUGUGGGAAUGGAUUUGUAGAACUGGGAGAGGAGUGCGACUGCGGACUGAGAACAGACUGCCAAAAGGAAUGCUGCAAGAAGUGCUCCCUCGCCAAUGGGGCACACUGCAGCGACGGACCAUGCUGCAAUAAAACAUGCUUGUUCUACCCACGAGGUUACAGCUGCCGCUAUGCUGUGAACGACUGUGACAUCUCAGAGACCUGCUCUGGGGACUCGGGACAGUGCCCGCCAAACCUUCAUAAACAAGAUGGUUACACCUGCCAGGUAAACCAGGGUCGCUGUUACAGUGGAGAGUGUAAGACCAGAGAGAACCAGUGUAAAUACAUCUGGGGAUCAAAGGCUGGAGGCUCGGAGAAGUUCUGCUAUGAGAAGCUGAACACGGAGGGGACAGAGAAGGGCAACUGUGGAAAAGAUGGAGAAAAAUGGAUCCAGUGUAGCAAACAUGACGUGUUCUGUGGUUUCCUUUUGUGUACCAAUGUCGGGCGUGUCCCUCGCAUUGGAAGCAUGAAAGGAGACAGUACCCCCACCUCCUUCAACCACCAAGGGAACGUCAUACAGUGCACGGGUGCCCACGUCCUUUUGGAUGAUGAAACUGAUUUAGGCUACGUGGAGGAUGGGACUCCCUGUGGGCCGUCAAUGAUGUGCCUUGACCGCAAGUGUCUGCCCAUCCAGUCACUUAACAUGAGCACCUGCCCCAUUGGACCUAACGGACAUGUGUGCUCGGGCCAUGGGGUAUGCAACAAUGAAGCCACAUGCACCUGUGACACCACCUGGGCCGGGACAGACUGUAGCAUGCCUGACCCGCCUAAAGAGCCCGAUGUCACUCCAGAAGAAGAACCCAAGGGUCCUAGUGCCACCAAUCUAAUAAUAGGCUCCAUCGCCGGAGCCAUCCUUGUGGCUGCCAUAGUGCUGGGGGGGACUGGAUGGGGCUUUAAGUAAGCAACACGCCGCAUGCCUCUCCUGCUCUAACUCUAGCAUCCCUGCUGCUUCUAGACACCAGGGUUUGAGCUCCUGCUACAGAAUACAGCAUCCCAGGGUGGACAUGUUACACUUACUACACUUAGGCUCACACUGACGAGGAGACAUGCAGAACACAUAUGGGUGUGGAAGGCGUUCAGGUGUUUGAUACUGUAUGAGUAAAUUUGACUUUGGGAAACGCUGGGGGUGUCUGUGCAUCUGUAGCAGAACCUCAAACUGAUUAGACGGGCAGAGUUCAAUGUUUGACAUGCAUUUCAUAGUAAAGUACAGAGGGGACAGAAUACUUUAUAACAGCUAAGUGGUUAAAAAAGUUUGUUUGUACUUGUAUUACAGAAAUUACUCCCCUUUAAAAUCUUAAACUAGGCCAUUCAGUGUCACUCUAUGGCUAGGAAAUCUACCCACCGCUGAUUAGCCUGCUGUCUUGAGCAACAGGGGUGUUACGCAUCCUAAUCUAAACAGACCUAAGGACUAAAUAAUAAAUAUGGUCCUACAGCCACUAAAGCAUGCCAGAUAGCAUCAUGGUUGUCACUAAAACAGCAAAAAAAAAACAAAAAAAGAGAAAGAAAAUAGAAUAAGAAACCAAACAUUUCUGCAUGUUGACUUGUUGAUUUGGAGGAGGUCAGUUCAUUGCACAAAGGCUGAGACAAACCCUGAGCAAUUUGGUCCGAGGGUUGUCGUGCUCUCAUCACUUCCAUGAUGUUUUUUUCUCACUCCGUCGCUCUUUGAGGCCGAGGCUUUAAAUGGAGUUAUGAGAACAACACACACAGACACACAGAGAGAGAGAAGCCAGGACCUUUUUGUUGUCUGCAGCCUUUGUGCCAUGGCUGGCCACACCCACCUGGAUGGCUGAGCUCCGCCAUAGAGCAGAGCAGGACUCUCGGACCCGCCCACACCAGCUGCCAUUGCUGCCUGCUUCGCAGACCCGAAAUGUGAAGAAACGGCGGUAUGACCCCAAUGCCACAGCCAUUUAACCCAAGGAGAAGAUGGCAAUCACACAGGGACUGCUCCAAGGCUUCCUUAGUUGGCUACCUGACAGCUGGACUGCACUUACUGCUGCUGAUUCUUUGGCAUUAGAUUUACUUGAAAAAGACAUAGUGGACAUUUUAACAAAUUUCCAUCGUAGUGACAUUAUAAAUGCAGCCUUUUUCAACUACACCUCACCCACGCCCCUCCACCCUGAUCUCCAGAGUGACAGAGCUCCUCGUUCCAUCCUUUAGUGCCAGUGCACAGGCGUUCAGGCGGAAUCCACACCACUUUCUCACCUGGCAUGAAUAAAAUCGAAACAAAACCUGCUGCUUGCUGGCCCGCCCGACCCCCACCCAACCCGCCCGCGCCCGGCAUGAAGAGCCCUCUCUGCGGGGCUCUGCAUGGCUACCAAAGCUAUGAAUAUACCGCAAAAAUAAAAAAGAAGAAAAAAGAAAACACAGAAAGAGGAGUAAAAAUGCGCAGGAGAGAGCCUCAUUAGAAACCAAACCCAGUGACAAGCCUGUUGAAGCUCCUGUUGAAGCAGAACUUCAUGUGAGGACCUAUAAGGGCAAUGCAGGCCAUGUAGUGAAUGCGCACACACACACACAUACACACAUGCACACACCACUGUACAUAUUUAAGGAGUUCAGGGUUGGAAAUGACAGCAUAUUUUCCAAGGACAUCAAAUGCUUUUGUUUUUUAUCUUAACAUCUUGUAUAGCGGGUGUUUUUGGUAAUGUUAUUAAAAUAAAAAACAAACAAACUGAGACUAGGAUUUGGGCCAAAAUGGUUAGAGAAGAAAAUCUAAAGUCAGAUUUGAGGACAGAGAGAGAAAGCUGUGGUGUCGAGGAGAAGCGCGUCAUUUCCGGAGAGAUUCAGACUGUGAUCCGAUUUAGCCCCCUGUUUUUGAAGUAUCUUCAACACUGACUCAAAAGCCAAAGAACCAAUCACCCGAACAUGUGGAUGUUGUUGCACACGGAGCACUUUCCCCUCUGUCUGCAGCCAGUGGUGCCUCUCAUGCUGAGGGCAUGAAGUCUGUCCAUGCAGGCGCUCACGUGUCCGGCCAGGUCUCACUUAACAGUCCUCAUCAACACCCACUAUACUGGCUUAAGCCUUUUUGCUCUCAUAAACUCUUAGUGGAAAUCAAGUUCAGCUCUACAGGUAAUGCUGCAUGCAAAUCACUAUAGUGGGCUUAUAAUUCUAUAUGGGAGUCCCCAAAAUCUGCAAGGAAAAUAUGCUACAAAAGAUAGGUGCAUGUCGACAAUAAAAAACAUUUAACUUUUAUUUACUAUGCAAAGAAAGAUAUUGCACAAAAGUAUGGGUAAUAGUGAUAUCGGUGUAGACAUGGUUUUACAAAAGGAAAAAAAAAAAAACAACCUCUGCUAAUCAGCUAAUCUUUUGUAUUUGGCCACUCCUAUGUCUCCUUUCAUUUCGCUUCAGUGUACUCAACCUGUGGAUGGACAAGUAAAGAAAUCAUCAAAAUAA